UACAUGGGGUGCAAGCGUUGCGCGGAAGUAUUGGGCGUAAAGGGCGCGUAGGCGGUUAGGCAAGUCGGAUGUGAAAGCCCUCGGCUUAACUGAGGAAGUGCACCCGAAACUGAGUAGCUAGAGUACCAAAGAGGGUCGCGGAAUUCCCGGUGUAGAGGUGAAAUUCGUAGAUAUCGGGAGGAACACCGGUGGCGAAGGCGGCGACCUGGGUGGAUACUGACGCUGAGGCGCGAAAGCGUGGGGAGCAAACAGG
rnacentral:rRNA from 1 species